UACGGGGGGGGGCAAGCGUUGUUCGGAAUUACUGGGCGUAAAGGGCUCGUAGGUGGCCAACUAAGUCAUACGUGAAAUCCCUCGGCUUAACCGGGGAACUGCGUCUGAUACUGGAUGGCUUGAGUUCGGGAGAGGGAUGCGGAAUUCCAGGUGUAGCGGUGAAAUGCGUAGAUAUCUGGAGGAACACCGGUGGCGAAGGCGGCAUCCUGGACCGACACUGACACUGAGGAGCGAAAGCCAGGGGAGCAAACAGG
rnacentral:rRNA from 1 species